GCCUCGGGCAGGCAAUACCACGACUGAGGUGCCCUUGAGCAAGGCACCGAACCCCCAAGUGCUCCCCGGGUGCCGCAGCAUAAAUGGCUGCCCACUGCUCCGGGUGUGUGUUCACUGCUGUGUGUGUGCACUUUGGAUGGGUUAAAUGCAUCACCAUACUUGGCUGUGUGUCACAUCACUUAAAAAAAAAAAAAAAACUAUCCCUUUAAGUGCUCUCUCUUUUGCAUAAACUCUUUUUUUCUUUCAGGUAUUCUAUGAUCAUGGUGAUGCGAUAGUUAAAGUUAGUCAUCAGGUGACAUGACAUACCAGAAAUGCAUCCGGUUUAAUGGCACAGACAUUUGCAGGUAAUAUCUUGUUAAAAAUGUAUCACAGUUGGACCAGUGCGUUAACCAAGUAUCCACAGAUGCAUUAAUGUUUCUGAAAUCAGAGGGGAUUACUCUCAGGAGCGUUUAACACAUUUUACCACAUCUAAAUCCAUUCCCCAGGUUUUCUUCCUCAAUCAGUGCAGCAAAUGCAGAAUAUUGUGUUGAUUCCCACUGGACCUGCUCAUAUAUCAUUGUUUACUUGCAUUGUCACUUUUGAUCAUGGUCUUUUUUUGUGAUUGUGCUGCGUGUGGCUCCAGCGUCACUAUGUUCACUAAAGUGCUUAACCCAAAUAUACCAGUAUUCAGACAAGCAGAUAUGAGUUUAGAUCAUAAAGCAUGAUCAGCAUGGAUUGUUUGUAUGCUGUGUUCAGAUGUGUUCAGUGCUGCAUGUUUACUCGUCUAUGAAGGAUCCUCCUUGUGUAACCUUACAAAUGCUAAUGAGAUCAUGUUGCAUCAUUAGACUGUGGUUGUUGCUCUUGUUGUUGUCGUUGCAUACAGAGUAAAAAUAAAUCAAGGAUGAGAGAGGUGUUGGUCAGGAAGCUUUUUUUCAAGUGUCCUUUCUCUAGAGAGAGAACUAUCACUCCAUUUUCACAUCAUUACAAACUGAGAUGGUUUUUCAUCUUAAAUUCAUUCUCAUGAGACUAAAUGUGUUCAAGAGAGAUGCCAUUUUCCCUGCAGUAUGGCAUUUGUGCCCUCACACCUUUAGAGGGUAGUAAUUACAUGCUGCAUCGAAUAUGGAAAAAAAAAGUGCAAAUCUGUCUUCUGUGAAUAGCUUACUCUCCAGAGACGUCCUGACACCAUAAACUAGAUCACAGCUAAAGUGAAAGACUGUUCCUGUAAUAUCUGGAGAUUUGUGUAAUAAUUAGUAGCGCUUACCAAGUCAAGCAUCACUGUUAGCACUGCUCAGAUUUAGGAUUAUGGAUUUGUUCAAAUGCUAAAACUGAGUAUUAAACUUGUAGCUUGUCCUUCACCAUUUCUUCUAUGGAUAUGAAUAAAACCUAAAAUCAUGCUGCUUGUUAAAGAGAGGUGUGCUGGAACUUUACUGGUAUUUAAAAUUUAAAUUUUGAAAAAACAAAAGAAUAAUAAUAAUUUGAAGGAAGGAGUCAAUCUUUACCUAAAGCCCUCUUUCUACCAUCAGGAUGCAGGUGACCAAUCUGAAGUCAUUUCCACUGCAGAAAUGGUGCUUCUGGUGUGGAAAAAAAUUGCUCAGCAUUGCUUGUGAAGCCUGCUGCUCUCAAACCAGGAUUUGAUAUUGUCGGAAAAAUGGCAUUAUGCCAUAGGAUAUCAUGUUCCUAUAUAUAUUAUGUUGCAUACUGGCUUCAGCCACUUUUAGCUUUAGAAGAAAAUGAUUUUGAUAAAUGUCAAAUAUGUGCAUUAGUACUGAGUUAAUGAAAUAUGUAAAUAUAUAUAUAUAUAUAUAUAUAUAUAUAUAUAUAUAUAUAUAUAUUGUGGCGGGGUG
ensembl:lncRNA